CAGUUGUUGAAGAGACUGUCCUUAAGGCAUGUGUUUUAAUCAACUUUUAAAUAUCAUCUUAGAGGUUUUUUCCUUUCUAAUUUGUGAGAUAUAUGCUCUUUCACGCAGCCCCUUGCUGGUUUAUCGUCUCGCUUGGCUUCCGCGCACAGGGCCGUCGGUUACUGGGGAGCAGCACGGAAGAAGCACUGUCCCCAGGAGCAGAGCGCAGAGCUGGGGACUUGGUGUAUCCACAGCAGAAUUCCAGAUAACAUUCCUGCGUUAGGAGAAUGCAGUAGGAGAGUUUCACCAGAGCGCCUCAUCAUGUCUGCGUAUCCUUCAGGCAGGUGGCACCACAGAUUCCAGACUUCGGCACAGUGAUAUUUUCUCCUCCUGGAAGUUCCAGUGCCUUGACUGCAGCCUGUCCUACACCCCAUGCAGCCAUUCCUUUGAUGUCUUACUCAACGAGAUUUGCAUUCCAGCUUUUCCCAGAGCCUACCGACCAUCUUUUCAAUUUGGGGACUUUCUCCUUUUCAAAACUGACUUGUGGGAAACAGGCUAGGAGAAAAUGCUGUUUGCAAGCAACAUCUGCUUUUUACCCCAGAACACACAUCUUCCCUGAACGCAAAGAUCCAACUUGGAAAAACAGAAAGUGAACAAAAUCCAAAUGAUUGGAAAGGUUACAUCUUUCAACUUCUCAAGGUGGCUUAGUUUCCCCAUUUGUAAGUUGGGGGAAAUAUCGUUGUGAGGUUGGUUUAUGAGUGUUUAGCCCAGUGCAUGUAACGGCAAUCACUCAAUAAUGGUACAUGUAUUAUUUGCAAUAGGCUUGUUUUAGCCGCCUGAUGACCCUUCGUCUGUGAUCGGCACAUACUCCUUUUGAGGGAAUGGCUCUUCCCCAACUGUCCUAGCCAAAUGAAUCCAAAAGGAGCUCCCACCUUAUGAGCUGGCUAAAGGAUGGCUAAUAGUAUUCACUUCCCUGGCCAUAGGGACUGAUUGGCCAAGGGUUGAGCCCAUGGCCCUAGCCACGAAUACCUACUUAUACAACUAUUAAGUGUCGUGAAAGAAAGAGACAGAGGGAUCUGAUCUUGUCUAAGCAGCUCAGUCUAAGGCUGUUGAACUUUGGACAAGUCAUUUCUCCAUUUUGGGCCUUAGGUUUUCCCUUCUAUAAAAUCAGAGGACUGAGUGGGAGGUUCCAGAAGGGUUACAUCUGGGCUCUGGCAGGUUCCUCUCACCCACUUGCUGCUUCAUGUAGACUUCUGGGCUCUGCGGAAGGACCAGUGUACAGGGUUCUGUUGU